rnacentral:rRNA from 1 species
CAGCAGCCGCGGUAAUACCGGCGGCCCGAGUGGCGGUCACUAUUAUUGGGCUUAAAGCGUCCGUAGCCGGGUUGGGAAGUCCUCCGGGAAAUCUGGCCGCUUAACGGUCAGAAUGCCGGAGGAUACUCCCAGCCUAGGGAGCGGGAGAGGCCGAGGGUAUUCCCGGAGUAGGGGGGAAAUCCUAUAAUCCCGGGAGGGCCACCUGUGGCGAAGGCGCUCGGCUGGAACGCGUCCGACGGGGAGGGACGAAGGCCAGGGGAGCAAACCGGAUUAGAUACCCGGGUAGUCCUGGCUGUAAACGAUGCGGACUUUGUGUCGGACAAGCUAUGAGCUUGUCCGGUGCCGGAGGGAAACCGUUAAGUCCGCCGCCUGGGGAGUACGGCCGCAAGGCUGAAACUUAAAGGAAUUGGCGGG